rnacentral:rRNA from 1 species
GACGAACGCUAGCUGCAGGCUUAACACAUGCAAGUCGAGGGGCAGCAUGGGGGUUGCUUGCAAUCCCCGAUGGCGACCGGCGCAAGGGUGAGUAAAGCGUACCCAACCUGCCCUUCACCACGGGAUAACCCGGCGAAAGUCGGACUAAUAACGUAUGUUGUCCAUUGACGGCUUCCGAUCUGGACGAAAGGCUUGGCGGUGCGGGGCGGGGAUGCGUCGGAGUAGGCUGGCGGCGGGGUAACGGCCCACCGGGGCUACGUUCUGUAGGGGUUCUGAGAGGGAGGUCCCCAGCGCGGGAACUGCGACACUGGCCAGACGCCUACGGGCGGCAGCCGUCAGGAAUAUUGGGCAAUGGGCGUAAGCCUGAACGAGCCAAGUAGCGUGCAGGAGGACGGCCCUGGGGUUUGUGAACUGCUGUUAUGCGGGGAUUAAGGGGGCCGCGAGUGGGCUGUUGCCGGUACCGGAUGAAUAAGGACCGGCUAAUUCCGUG